rnacentral:rRNA from 1 species
UGGUGGAGUGAUUUGUCUGGUUAAUUCCGUUAACGAACGAGACCUCGACCUGCUAAAUAGUUCAACGAAGGGUUCUCCCUUCGGAUUUGUGACUUCUUAGAGGGACUAUCGGUGUGUAGCCGACGGAAGUUCGAGGCAAUAACA